CACGUAGGGGGCAAGCGUUGUCCGGAUUUAUUGGGCGUAAAGAGCUCGUAGGCGGCUCAGUAAGUCGGGUGUGAGACCUCCAGGCUCAACCUGGAGACGCCACCCGAUACUGCUGUGGCUUGAGUCCGGUAGGGGAGCGUGGAAUUCCUGGUGUAGCGGUGAAAUGCGCAGAUAUCAGGAGGAACACCAGCGGCGAAGGCGGCGCUCUGGGCCGGAACUGACGCUGAGGCGCGAAAGCUAGGGGAGCAAACAGG
rnacentral:rRNA from 1 species